rnacentral:tRNA from 1 species
GUCGGGAUAGCUCAUUUGGUAGAGCAGAGGACUGAAAAUCCUC